rnacentral:rRNA from 1 species
CCUACGGGAGGCAGCAGUGGGGAAUAUUGCGCAAUGGACGAAAGUCUGACGCAGCGACGCCGCGUGAGGGAUGAAGGUUUUCGGAUCGUAAACCUCUGUCAGGAGGGAAGAAAGCACAUGGCGCCAAUCAGCCAUGCGUUGACGGUCCCUCCAAAUGAAGCGCCGGCUGACUCCGUGCCAGCAGCCGCGGUAAUACGGAGGGCGCUAGCGUUAAUCGGAAUUACUGGGCGUAAGGGGAGCGGAGUCUGUUGUGUAAGUUGGGGGUGAAAUCCGACGGCCCAACCGUGGAACAGCCCUUGAUACUGCGCGACUUGAAUCCGGGAGAGGUAGGCGGAAU